AUUGAACGCUGGCGGCAUGCUUUACACAUGCAAGUCGAACGGUAACAGGCCGCAAGGUGCUGACGAGUGGCGAACGGGUGAGUAAUGCAUCGGAACGUGCCCAGCCGUGGGGGAUAACUACUCGAAAGAGUAGCUAAUACCGCAUACGAUCUAUGGAUGAAAGCGGGGGACCGUAAGGCCUCGCGCGAUUGGAGCGGCCGAUGUCAGAUCAGGUAGUUGGUGGGGUAAAGGCUCACCAAGCCAACGAUCUGUAGCUGGUCUGAGAGGACGACCAGCCACACUGGGACUGAGACACGGCCCAGACUCCUACGGGAGGCAGCAGUGGGGAAUUUUGGACAAUGGGCGCAAGCCUGAUCCAGCAAUGCCGCGUGCAGGAAGAAGGCCUUCGGGUUGUAAACUGCUUUUGUACGGAACGAAACGGCUCUGGUUAAUACCCGGGGCUAAUGACGGUACCGUAAGAAUAAGCACCGGCUAACUACGUG
rnacentral:rRNA from 1 species